rnacentral:rRNA from 1 species
UACGGAGGGGGCUAGCGUUGUUCGGAAUUACUGGGCGUAAAGCGCGCGUAGGCGGACCUGCAAGUCGGGGGUGAAAGCCCGAGGCUCAACCUCGGAACUGCCUUCGAUACUGCGGGUCUCGAGUCCGGGAGAGGUGAGUGGAAUUCCUAGUGUAGAGGUGAAAUUCGUAGAUAUUAGGAAGAACACCAGUGGCGAAGGCGGCUCACUGGCCCGGUACUGACGCUGAGGCGCGAAAGCUAGGGGAGCAAACGGG